AACACUGGAAUCCAGUUCCUCCAUACUCCAACAGGUUUAGGUAUACACAUUGGCCGCAGACCUCUCUCCAUGAUUUGUGCGCCUGCUGAAUCAGUUCUGUUAUCUGUUGAAUACGGGGAUGUCUGCUGUUCGUGCGUCUCUCUCUCUUUUUGUUUUUAUUUUUUUUCCCCCAGGUGAUUAGUUUUACUGGGCGCCUAUUCCGACCGGGAUUGGCUUAUAGCCUGCAAUAGUGACUAUAAGCUCGUUGUAUCACAUCUCUCUUAACUGCGAUCUUUGUCCAAUCCCUCGAAAACCCGUCAUUGAUUGUUCAAGCUCGCGACAUACUUGGCUGCAUUGAUCACCAAGGCCUUAAAGAAGUGCCAACAUUGGCAGCUCAGCUUUGGUCACUUAUGCCAAUGUGUUCAGCAUAUUGGUCGGAUUCUCAAGUUCAUCUUGAAGCCCAGUUAUGCAAAGUUUAUUGUGAUCCUUGAAAUGAUUUCAGAGAGCAACUUCACUGCCCGCACAGCAGUAGUAAUAACAGUCAGGGCUGAGACAGUAAUACUUAGAGGAUCCACCACUUCAAAACUUGCUGUUGAGAUCUCAGCAAUCUCUCCUGAUAAAAUUGGCAC
rnacentral:sRNA from 2 species